rnacentral:snRNA from 1 species
GCGCUCGCCACGGCGGCACAUAUACUAAAAUUGGAUCGAUACAGAGAAGAUUAGCAUGGCCCCUGCGAAAGGAUGACACACAAAUCUGUGAAGCACUUCAUCUCUAA